rnacentral:rRNA from 1 species
UACGUAGGGUCCGAGCGUUGUCCGGAAUUACUGGGCGUAAAGAGCUCGUAGGUGGUUUGUCACGUUGUUCGUGAAAACCCACAGCUCAACUGUGGGCGUGCGAGCGAUACGGGCAGACUAGAGUGAUGUAGGGGAGACUGGAAUUCCUGGUGUAGCGGUGAAAUGCGCAGAUAUCAGGAGGAACACCGAUGGCGAAGGCAGGUCUCUGGGCAUUAACUGACGCUGAGGAGCGAAAGCAUGGGGAGCGAACAGG